CAGCGCGGACUUCGGUCUGGCGGCGAGUGGCGAACGGGUGAGUAAUACAUCGGAACGUACCCUGUUGUGGGGGAUAACUAGUCGAAAGAUUAGCUAAUACCGCAUACGACCUGAGGGUGAAAGUGGGGGACCGCAAGGCCUCACGCAGCAGGAGCGGCCGAUGUCUGAUUAGCUAGUUGGUGGGGUAAAGGCCCACCAAGGCGACGAUCAGUAGCUGGUCUGAGAGGACGAUCAGCCACACUGGGACUGAGACACGGCCCAGACUCC
rnacentral:rRNA from 1 species